rnacentral:rRNA from 1 species
UACGAAGGGGAGCUAGCGUUGUUCGGAUUUACUAGGGCGUAACGCAGCGUAGGCGGAUAUUUAAGUCAGGGGUGAAAUCCCGGGGCCUCAACCCCGGAACUGGCCGUUUGAUACUGGGUAGUCUUGAGUCCGGAAGAGGUGAGUGGAAUUCCGAGUGUAGAGGUGGAAAUUCGUAGAUAUUCGGCGAGGAACACCAGUGGCGAAGGCGGCUCACUGGUCCGGUACUGACGCUGAGGUGCGAAAGCGUGGGGAGCAACAGGA